AUACACUAACACACUCACACAUACACUCAUACACGCACAAUCACACAUGCGCACACAUACACUAAUACACUCACACUCACACACACACACACACAUAUGCACACAUGGACACAUGCACAUGCACAUACAGGAAAUUGAAAGUGGCCAGUUGAUUGUAGUAAAUUCCCCCUUUCAGCCAGUAUUUAUUUGCACACUGUUUGAAACAUGCUGAUCUAUGAGUAUUGCAGUAUUAUUCUGUUCCAAGGCUAAGUUGAGCACCGUAAUGUGAUGCCUUUUCGGUGUGUUGAAUGUUUCACAGUGUGCUCUGUGAGGCCUGUUUGAAUAGGAAAGUGUGAUUCGGUCCUGUCUAAGCCGCAUGUUCCCAGUGCUACAGUCAGAUCAAAUGCAAACACAUGCACACGCUUCGCAGGGCUAGCAGUGCUUAAGAAAUUCAACAUUUGAACAUUACAGGUGAAUUUUAGUGACUGAUAUCCAGCAGUUAUAAUUUACAAACCUAAGGUACAAACCUGUAUAAUAAUGGAAUAUAACGGAGUUCAGCGCUUAAGGAUACAGCACAAGUACUCUUUGUUACUGAUGCAAUACUAGUGCAUUACAUUACCAUUGCAUUACAUUACUAACACUUUUGCUACAUGAAUUUACUGAUACAUUAUCAUGACAAUGAAUUACUGAUACAUCACCAUUAGUUUGACUUACUGAUACAUUACCUGUUGCUUUACAUAACUGAUACAUUACUGCUACAUUACCAGUACAGGAGCUGCUCCAAGCCUAUAGAAAUCAGUGGUGUGUUAAUGAGGCAGACUGCAGUGUUCACUGCAGAUCAUCACAGUGUGGAAUGUAAGCAUUUAUAUUCAGGGGGGCCUUGUGUCUACCAUGUGCGGUGUGCCAAAUCUCCCGGGGGGGCGGGGGGGGGGGGGGGGCGGGGGGGGGCAAAACAGGCCCCCUUACAGCAGUGAUUCUCCUGUGGGAAAACCUUUUUUAAUGGGGUGAAAUUGGUCAUGUAUGGACUGUGCUGGACACUGAUGUUGUGCUGAGAGGAUAGUGUACUGAGCACUGUGCCAUGCUGAAAAUAUACUGAUCACUAUUCUGAGUAGAGUGUACUGAGCACUAUGCUGAGUAUAUUGUACUGAGCAUUAUGUUGUGUUGAUAAUAUAGUGGGCACUAUGUUUAGUUGAGUGUAGUGAGCACUGUUUUGUUGAGAGGGUAGUGAAUGACCUUUUGUGGAAGGGUUUUUGAGCACUAAACAUUCAGGUUAAGGUGCUGUCAGUGGACGUUUUGAGCACUAAACGUUCAGUUUAAGGUGCUGUCAGUGGACGUUUUGAGCACUAAACGUUCAGUUUAAGGUCAGUGGACGUCUUUUCUCUAAACUGCCUUACAGUCCAAAGCCUUAUGCAGCUGUGUCAGGCUCCCCAGGAUUGCCUUUGACCUCUCCUGGUUCUGUAGUUCAGCCAAUGGGGUGCAGGGGGCACAAAUCUGAUUCUGUAUUUCAGCCAGUGGGGUGCAGGGGGCUCAAAUCUUGCAGAAUUUGUCAGUCUGAUUGGAUAGUUCUAAUGAACUGCUUGCACUUGCUGAACCAACCGUUUUGCACAGUAUUAAGAAGGAUGUAAUUGGAUCAAAAUAUUUAUAAAAAUCAUUUUUUAAAAAUUGAACACUAAAUAAGGACUAAACGGAACAUUUGAAAUUUUCAGUCAUCGACAUUUAAUCAUUUUUUUUCCAACAAAUAUUUUUAAAAGUUUUCUCAUAAAAGCCAAAAUUAUAGUUUACUAAAGCAUUUUGCACAAAAGGAGCAUUAAGAUCAUGGUAAUGUCACUUUUAUAUAUAUGUACGUUUAAAUAAAAGGUAUUCUGAAUGAUGUUACUAAUAUCUGUAUCUCUAAGUGUAUUGUAAUCAAAUAGAUCAAAUGUAAUCUAAGAUGUAUAAAAAUAAAACUAAUAUCUAUCAUUGUUUACAGAAUUUUUGAGAAUUUUAGUUUAAAAUGUUUACAGAAUUAUUGAUCUGAAUUUAAACUGCUUGUUGUACGUAGCUGAACGGUUUAUUUUUAAAGGCUGAUAUAAGUGAUUCCAUCUCAUUAUUUUCUCAUAUCUAAUAUAAAUGUAGCAUCUGUGAGGUUUGUGAUGAAAAUGGCCAAAUUAGAAUUUUAUUUCAGUGUUCCUGACUCUUGUGAAUUAUGGACUGUUAUCAUUCCUGGGGCAGAAUCCAAGGGUAAUUCCUGUUUGUGGUAAAGAACAGGACAGAGAUGACGUCUUGCUAAAAAGAUUUUCUCUCUCAGAUGUGUAGGACUAAUAUUAGCCUGCAGGGGUCUCCUGUCUCAUUUAGGUGAAAUGUAUUGAGUGAAUGAUGAGGUCGACUUGAAUGUUUUCACAAAACGUGUCUGGAAAGAAGAGUGCUAAAGAACUCUGGAUCAAAACAUUUAAAAUGGACAAAAAAGUGUCAUCCUUAUGAUUUUUCAAUACUGUAUUAACUGUUAGAAAAAAGUAAAUGGGUGUUACAAAUGUCCUGUAUUUCAAAUAAAUUUGAGUGCCAAAUAAA